AAGAAAGAAAAAACUUCGGUGCCAAGGCAAAAAGACUUCUUCCACUUUUUGAUGCCAUUGAUGCAGAAACCGAAGAUGGGAUGCAAAAUGGGUAUGCAGAAGGAGUUGAUUCUGUUGCCUUGCUGAAAUCAGUCAACAAAUUUGAAGUUGAAAGCAAGAAGCUUGCAAUUGAGGAGGAGGUGGAUCAUGUCUAUGAAAGGCUACAAGCACUGGAGGCAGAUAGAGAGUUUCUCAAGCAUUGUAUAACCUCCUUAAAGAAAGGGGAUAAAGGGAUAGAGCUUCUGCAAGAGAUUUUACAUCAUCUUCGUGAUCCGAUCUAAGAAGCGUGGAACUCCGCGUAAGGAACAUGGAGGAGGGUGCUCUAUAACGACAUUGUGCUCAGCUAUCACAAAGAAGAUAUUGGCAGAUUGCAUUAUGGAAGCUGAUAAAAA
rnacentral:misc_RNA from 1 species